rnacentral:rRNA from 1 species
UAGGGUAUCUUCCACAAUGGACGCAAGUCUGAUGGAGCAACGCCGCGUGAGUGAAGAAGGUUUUCGGAUCGUAAAGCUCUGUUGUUGGUGAAGAAGGAUAGAGGUAGUAACUGGCCUUUAUUUGACGGUAAUCAACCAGAAAGUCACGGCUAACUACGUGCCAGCAGCCGCGGUAAUACGUAGGUGGCAAGCGUUGUCCGGAUUUAUUGGGCGUAAAGCGAGCGCAGGCGGAAGAAUAAGUCUGAUGUGAAAGCCCUCGGCUUAACCGAGGAACUGCAUCGGAAACUGUGUUUCUUGAGUGCAGAAGAGGAGAGUGGAAUUCCCUGUGUAGCGGUGGAAUGCGUAGAUAUAUGGAAGAACACCAGUGUCGAGGGCGACUCUCUGGUCUGCAACUGACACUGAGGCUCGAAAGCAUGGGUAGCGAACAGG